CACGUAGGGGGCAAGCGUUGCCCGGAUUUAUUGGGCGUAAAGAGCUCGUAGGCGGUUCGGUAAGUCGGGUGUUAAACCCCCAGGCUCAACCUGGGGACGCCACUCGAUACUGCUGUGACUAGAGUCCGGUAGGGGAGCGUGGAAUUCCUGGUGUAGCGGUGAAAUGCGCAGAUAUCAGGAGGAACACCGGUGGCGAAGGCGGGUCUCUGGGCCGAUACUGACGCUGAGGAGCGAAAGCGUGGGGAGCAAACAGG
rnacentral:rRNA from 1 species